rnacentral:rRNA from 1 species
AGAGUUUGAUCAUGGCUCAGAUUGAACGCUGGCGGCAGGCCUAACACAUGCAAGUCGAACGGUAACAUUUCUAGCUUGCUAGAAGAUGACGAGUGGCGGACGGGUGAGUAAUGCUUGGGAACUUGCCUUUGCGAGGGGGAUAACAGUUGGAAACGACUGCUAAUACCGCAUAAUGUCUACGGACCAAACGGGGCUUAGGCUCCGGCGCAAAGAGAGGCCCAAGUGAGAUUAGCUAGUUGGUAAGGUAAUGGCUUACCAAGGCAACGAUCUCUAGCUGUUCUGAGAGGAAGAUCAGCCACACUGGAACUGAGACACGGUCCAGACUCCUACGGGAGGCAGCAGUGGGGAAUAUUGCACAAUGGGGGAAACCCUGAUGCAGCCAUGCCGCGUGUGUGAAGAAGGCCUUCGGGUUGUAAAGCACUUUCAGUUGUGAGGAAAAGUUAGUAGUUAAUACCUGCUAGCCGUGACGUUAACAACAGAAGAAGCACCGGCUAACUCCGUGCCAGCAGCCGCGGUAAUACGGAGGGUGCGAGCGUUAAUCGGAAUUACUGGGCGUAAAGCGCACGCAGGCGGUUUGUUAAGCUAGAUGUGAAAGCCCCGGGCUCAACCUGGGAUGGUCAUUUAGAACUGGCAGACUAGAGUCUUGGAGAGGGGAGUGGAAUUCCAGGUGUAGCGGUGAAAUGCGUAGAUAUCUGGAGGAACAUCAGUGGCGAAGGCGACUCCCUGGCCAAAGACUGACGCUCAUGUGCGAAAGUGUGGGUAGCGAAC